AGAAACGUCAAAUAUGGUUAACUUGAACCUAACAACGCAGCUCAUCAAGAUGCAAGAUUUCCUUCGUUUACAUGAACCAGCAUCAAGUCACUUGAUGCAGUGAAUUUGAUAUUUAGGGACACUGCAAAUAGUAAAAUUGAAGUGAAUGCUCGAGAUGUAUUCCUCAAGAAAUAACACAAAACUGGAGCUGGAAUCAUCUACGUGCUGGAUUUCCACCUUGUGCUGAUGCAUCAUAUCCAGGACCAAUAUGACCCGGUGAGGGAGCUGCCCCAGGAGGAGCAUUUCCUAUAGGUGCUACCUGUCCUUGAGUUGCAACACCGCCUUUGGAAGAUGCGUCAUAGUUAGAGGCCUUGCUAGGAUCAUAAACAGGGGCCCCAUAUGCAUCAUAGCCAGGUCCUCUGUAAGCUUCAUAACCCGCUGCCCUCUGAGCAUCAUACCCAGGUCCCCUAUCAUACCCAUGCCCCCUCUGAGCUUCAUAAGCUGCUAAACCAGAUCCUCUUUGCGCAUCAUAGCCAGGACCACUUGAUCCCAUUUGUGCUUCAUAACCAUGUCCAACAGGGCCUCUAAUUCCCCUUUGUGCAUCAUAACCAGACAUAUUUGAUGUAUCAUAAGGAGGCCUGUUUGACGGAGGCACAGACUGAGCUCCAACUUGUGGUGAGUCAACAGCAGGAACUCCUCCAGCAUUAGUCCCUGUUGGUACGGAGCCUCUACCCUGAUAAACUCCAUAGCCGUCUGCAUAGAUGUUUUGCCCAGUAGCAUAAUUAUUAGUGGCAUCAUUUUCAUUGUAUCCAGUUGAACCACCAUAAGGUCCACCUGUUUGUCUGUCAGAGUUAGAAGUGUUCGCUAACUCUGCCCUAAGCUUUUCCACCUCUCUGGACAUAGUCAUGUAGUUCUUCUCCAUCACUUGAAGAGAUUCAAGAUGAUCACUGUAUAACUUCCUCUCGCACUCAUAGGUAGUCCGGCACUGCUGAUACUCCUUUUU
rnacentral:misc_RNA from 1 species